rnacentral:rRNA from 1 species
AUUGAACGCUGGCGGCAGGCCUAACACAUGCAAGUCGAACGGUAACAGGAAGCAGCUUGCUGCUUUGCUGACGAGUGGCGGACGGGUGAGUAAUGUCUGGGAAACUGCCCGAUGGAGGGGGAUAACUACUGGAAACGGUAGCUAAUACCGCAUAACGUCGCAAGACCAAGAGGGGGACCUUAGGGCCUCUUGCCAUCGGAUGUGCCCAGAUGGGAUUAGCUAGUAGGUGGGGUAACGGCUCACCUAGGCGACGAUCCCUAGCUGGUCUGAGAGGAUGACCAGCCACACUGGAACUGAGACACGGUCCAGACUCCUACGGGAGGCAGCAGUGGGGAAUAUUGCACAAAGGGCGCAAGCCUGAUGCAGCCAUGCCGCGUGUAUGAAGAAGGCCUUCGGGUUGUAAAGUACUUUCAGCGGGGAGGAAGGGAGUAAAGUUAAUACCUUUGCUCAUUGACGUUACCCGCAGAAGAAGCACCGGCUAACUCCGUG